ACUUUCAGAUCAUACCAGCAGUAAUGCACCGUAACCCAUCAGAACUCUGUAGUUAAGCGUGCUCGGGCGAGAGUAGUACUAGGACAGGUGACCUCCAGGGAAUUCCUCGUGUUGCACCUC
rfam:Lupinus angustifolius cultivar Tanjil contig_22518, whole genome shotgun sequence.